AACUUACAUCCAAGACAUUACGCAUGGACUGUUGACCAUGAAAAGUCAUGAAAUAGAGUGGAAGUUGUUCAAAUUUAUCUGCCAAGUGCUCAUAGUGCUCGAGAUUCUUCUCCAGUGGUAUUCUGUUAGUUAGAAAGCCAGAGAAAUUACAACAGUUUCUGGAUAUUAAUCUAGUGACAUACUCGUCUUCAUGGUACUGAAGAAAGUUGCAAAAUACAAGGAUAAAACUUUAAACUGUUCAAAGAAACCUGCUCCGUGUGGCUCAACUCAGCAUAUACAUCCUGUCGAAGAUAGCUAAAUGUAGUGAUCGCCUUGUGAGUGAUGGGUUC